CGAUGCCGAGAUAGACAAGGAGUGCAGGGUCGGCAUGGAGCUGAACAACAAGGUCAUGCUGCACAACUGUAGCCACACGAUGUGCAUCAAAGUGCUAUCGUCAAUGAUUUCUAAAAGAAGUCUGUAAGGAGGAGAAAUCACAGCUAGCAUCAAGAAGAUCCUAAAUUGCUAAUUAUUUGAUUUCAUAUUCAAGGUAUGUAUUUGUGGGAUUUUGUAUUUCAUUUUUCUUGUGGGAUGCUCCUCUGUCUGAAGUCACGUGUGAGUUUUCUGAAAGUUUAUUAGAAAGAUUUUUGGUGAAAGUUUA